CUCCAGACUCCAGACCAUGCUGGCCUACCUUCUCCAUAGAGAAACCCAUCCUGAAUGGAUGCCAGUGUAGAGCCUGAGCCUCAUCAACACCCAAGGGUCUUGCUGUGUAGCCCAGGCUAGCCCCAACUUCCUGAGAACUGGGAUUAUAGAUGUGUCUCCAAACUCAGUCUGAUUGUCUUCGGUCUGCCAGAGGACUGGGCUCCAGCAGAGCAGGCUCUUUACCACCCUGGGCUACCUGAGACUCUGAACAACAACAACAACAACAACAACAACAACAACAACAACAACAACAACAAAACCCUUCCACAGACAAGUUCUACGCUGCUGAUUGGCUGAUGGUGGGGUACAUCUGCCCUUCCUUCAUCCUCACAUCACGCUGGGGUGGCUGCUGAUGCUGUUUGGACGCUCAGGAGGCUGAAGCUUAUCUCUUCACCGUCAGGAGAUGCUGCCUCGAGGCCUGUGCUGUUCCCUCUCACAGAGCCUGGGGUCUAUCCUGCAGUCCAGCAUCUGCUGGUACCAAGCUGAAGAGAGCCAGGGCUACUGGUGGACAUCUGGCCUGGAGGCUCCAGUGAGCGGGCAGAGGUGGGUGAUAAAAGACCCACAUCAGAGCUGAUCUCUACCUUCCCUGAGGUGCCCAGAGGGUGAAGCUGAUGGAGCCCGUGCAGUGGUGUGAAUGGCCUCUUACAUGCUGUGUCAUGUGCCCUGUGGAUCCCAACGCCUUCCUGCUGGGUGCAUGCUUGUUCACUCUCCAAUCAUCCCGUGUCCCCAGGCCAAGCUCACUCCCAGAUCAUAGGUGUGCCCUAACUUGACUCCAAGCAGCAGAAAGGCCGUACUGUGUAUGUGUUCUUGCCUUUGCUGGUGUCAGAAGUCGAGUGUGUCAUGUGGUUGUAUUUUUUAGCAACUCUUGGGAACUUGCUGUAGGACAGAGACUUAUAAAGGGACAGGUGUGCAAUCACCAGAACGGUGGCAAAUUAUUUGGAUCUGAUCCCAAGGGUGAGUUGGCUAGACAGGAAGAAGAAAGAGAAAGGGCUGAUCAAUGGGUAGGAGGCUGGCUGUACCCCAGUGGAGAAAGGUGCCUCUGGGGAUCAUGUGGCUGACAGAGGACAUUGUAAGUGUUGUCCUGAUGAGAUCUCUAAAUCUGCUUCACCUGAUCAGGUCAGAGCGUGGGCUCUUCCUCAAUACCCCAAAGACGUCCCAUGCUUCUUGAGUCCUGCCCAGUGUAAUCACGCUUCUUCAAGAUGAUACAAUUACCACCAUGUUCAUCACCAUCACCCCCCAACAUCAUCUCAACCACAGCCAUCACCACCUCCAUCAUCAGUAUCACCACCACUGCCACCAUUAUCACCAAGAUCUUUAGUCAUCAUUGUUAUCAGCAUCAUCACAGAUGCCAGCAUCUUACUCUCCUCAGCAUCGCCAUGAUCACCAUCAGUAUCACUGUCAUGGUCACGAUUGCCACGGUUACCAUCACCAUCACUAUCCUCAUCCACUGGCAGCUGGAUGAGACCCUGACAGCCUGAUCAAUGGAUUACUUACUUUAUUUUAUUUUAUUGUUUGUUUG